GAGAGGUGCUGCAUGGCUGUCGUCAGCUCGUGCUGUGAAACGUUGGGUUAAGUCUCGCAACGAGCGCAACCCCUAUCGUCUGUUGCCAGCAUUAAGUUGGGCACUCUGACGAGACUGCCUGGGUUAACCAGGAGGAAGGUGGGGAUGACGUCAAGUCCUCAUGGCCCUUAUGUCUAGGGCUACACACGUAAUACAAUGGCGCGUACAGAGGGAAGCGAACUCGCAAGGGGGAGCAAAUCUCAAAAAGCGCGCCUCAGUUCGGAUUGGAGUCUGCAACUCGACUCCAUGAAGUUGGGAUCGCUAGUA
rnacentral:rRNA from 1 species